GACGAACGCUGGCGGCGUGCUUAACACAUGCAAGUCGAACGGAAAGGCCCUGCUUUUGUGGUGUGCUCGAGUGGCGAACGGGUGAGUAACACGUGAGUAACCUGCCCUUGACUUUGGGAUAACUUCAGGAAACUGGGGCUAAUACCGGAUAGGAGCUCCUGCUGCAUGGUGGGGGGUGGAAAGUUUCGGCGGUUGGGGAUGGACUCGCGGCUUAUCAGCUUGUUGGUGGGGUAGUGGCUUACCAAGGCUUUGACGGGUAGCCGGCCUGAGAGGGUGACCGGCCACAUUGGGACUGAGGUACGGCCCAGACUCCUACGGGAGGCAGCGGUGGGGAAUAUUGCACAAUGGGCGGAAGCCUGAUGCAGCAACGCCGCGUGCGGGAUGACGGCCUUCGGGUUGUAAACCGCUUUCGCCUGUGACGAAGCGUGAGUGACGGUAAUGGGUAAAGAAGCACCGGCUAACUACGUG
rnacentral:rRNA from 1 species